rnacentral:piRNA from 1 species
UAAGGCCAAAAUUGCUGGGACUCAGAUUGUU